GCAGAGCGCUCGCAUGGGAAGUGUAGGUGGCUGAUCAACACAGAAGCCACCCAUCAUCCGAACUUUAGUUGUUAAUCGCUUGCCAUAAAUAAUCGCGGCUGUGCACGUACGAGUAUGUUUGUCCCUCGAAGAUCAUCAAAAAAAUUCCAAAUCAAUAGGAAUGGAAAUUCUUUUAAUUUUUGAGACUUGCGCCGGCAGAGGUCUUACAAUGCACAUUGCACCAACAACAUCAUCAUCUGAAUCUUAUGUGCACAACAAAAUAUGAAGAGUGACAAGUGUUUGCGACAAAGGUUACUACGAGCGGCGAAGAUAAAACAAUCAGAAAAUUAUGACACAAGUGGUGGAAUACAUAUCAUCAGGUACUAUUCCACUUAGCCGUAAAAUCCAUAUAAAUAUAUGUAUAAACGUGUAUUUAGAGAUGCAUACUCAUUAAAACAACCGAAAUCUAAAGAAUGUAGAAUAGGUGAGAGAAACAGAUUGCAAAUGAUAAGCCACCAACAGACCAUGCUGCAACAGCCAGACAAAACAUAAAUAGAAUGCACAACGCUAGUCCGAACAGUUACAAGUCAAGACAUUGUAAGUUAACUUGCGCAAGAAGAGAGAGCACAUUGCAGGACACCGCAAAAGACGAAUGCCGGCUACUCAUGUCAAAUGUAUCUGAGGCUGAAAUGACAUGAGAAGUUUCAUAAAUACCAAAUCAAAGCAGGAUGGCUCAAUAAAUAAAAGAAAGUUUCACCGAUUCUUAAAACCACGUUAUUAGUUAUAUGUGCACAUAUAUCUUUUACUUUACGACAUUUUUUAAGUACUUGUCAUUGAGAUCAAAAGACGGUCAGCAACUCUUUAUUGCCUUGUUAGAAGAUCAAAGGUUUAAUGAGCAAUUUUGGGUGUUCUUAACAUAAUACAGUAAAUGGAUGAAGGUUGUAUACCGGAUGUUUGUCUUGAUUAUGUCUAUGUAACAGUUUCGUGGUCAUCAUAAACGAGCACGCGCGAACUGUAUUCAAAUAUGAGAGCUUGAAUAAUUAUACUUUCUAAAUCGGCAACGAAGUUUUUCCCCAUUAAAAAUUGUAUACAUGAAUUUUUUCUAUAAGAAUUAAGUAUUUUCUUAUAUCAAUGCUAAUCUAGAGGAAGAAAGUUGUAAUCAUUAUAAAUGUCGGCGAUUAAAUGGAGCCAAGGAGGUUUUAACCACACUUUGAAGUUUAUGUUAUGUAAUUUCGUUGAUAUUUCACUUCGGAAUAGAAACAUUAGACCCUACGAUAUUUAAAACGAUAAAGAGGUCGUGAACAUCAGAACAUCACUCUCAUUUCUUCACUUUAAUUUAACGUUUCUUCUCUCCUUUCACUCUUCACUUCAUUUUUGACUUUGCUUUGUAAAUAUUUUGCAUAUGUCACCGGGAGUUCGCAAACACCAAAGUUUUGCGCGCGGGCAUUGGCUUGGAGUUGCCUGGUUGACUGCUCGGAUAGCGGAUGCGAACGCGUACGCUCAUGUCAUGAAAUCAUCAUGCUCAUCAUACAUACAUAUGCAUGUAUCCUUAUAUAUUGGAUUGCGUACAUCUGUGCAGAUACUUUUAUAUAAUCAGGCUUUAUCAAAAGGACUCACAAAGGAUGACUUUGUUGAAAAACAAAUUGAAAAAUAAAAAGAUAAAAACAAAAAUAA